rnacentral:lncRNA from 1 species
GUGAAAACAAGGUCUACGAUACUGCUACCUGUGGACAGGAUUUGGACUAUUCUUUCAUAUUAGAACUGGACUUUACAGCUAGUUCAUAUUUUCAAGUUCUCUACAGUCUGAGCAAUGUGAGAAAUUCGACGCUAUUGUUUGCCAAAGCAGCAAUACUGGUUAUUGCUUUAAGAGCGGUUACAAGAUGUUCUGCAGUCGCUGCUGAGGGAAAAGGUACCUUAAAGGUGGGUGGAAUACAAGCGGAUAUAUCGGGUAAGAGCACUGGCAGCCUGGCAACAACAGUGCCUUUCAACAUGUGCCUUUAUCUAGCUGUCUUCGCAUUCCUUUUCAAAACUUUCUCAUUGUGUUAAAAUAUGGGACAUACUGGAAAUGUUCAAGACUUGUAAACCAGUGAUUAAUAUUUACUUUUUCAGUCCAAAUAUUCUGUGUAAAUUUUCAGGAGGAGGACUUACCAUACAGAAAACACGUUAAUUUAACAUUUUUGUGACUGAAGUCUCUGAAUGAAUACAUCGAAUCAAUGUUUUCACAAAACAUUUGAUCAAAAACUAAGUUUAUCUGUACUAUGUUAUAAGACGAUUCUUCAUUCGCUGUGUCAUUUUUUCACACAAGUUUUACCGUUUAGAUAAUUGAAAGAACGUACACAGCAAUACAUGGUCACAAUUUGAAAAUAUUAUUUAAUCUAGAGUUAAAAAAUCAAAUCGAAAAUGGAAUUUGUGUUCUUUCGGGCCAGUGGUCUCUGUUUGAAGUGUUUUAGAGCCUGUGGUUUCAUAUCUAUUUAUGAAUAUAUAUCUUUGUUUUUUCUGAUAUCAUUGUUUUGUUAACUGUGCAUACUAACUUUAUCAUAUGCAUUCAAAGACACAAUAUAAUAAUGUUGGUCCUACUUUGUGUCUAAUUUAUAUUUUUCAACAAUAUUAAAUAGUUUUAAAUAAACCAGUAACGCUAAUGUGUAACGUAUGUUUCUAUUCGUUUUCUGGUUUCACAGAAAACUCUCGAAUCUAAUACUCUACAAUUACACGUCAUUUAAACAUAUUGAUGACACUGGUACUGUGGCAAUUGCUGAUUUGAAUAUAUUGUUCUGAAUUAUCAGGUAACAAUAAUGAUGUUAAACAUUCUUUAUGACAAGAAUAUGAAUGUAUAAUGUUAUGUCUGUGCUUAUUAAACUGAUAUAUCUUUA